rnacentral:rRNA from 1 species
CCGACUUACCAACCCGAUGCAAACUACGAAUACCGAAGAAUGUUAUCACGGGAGACACACGGCGGGUGCUAACGUCCGUCGUGAAGAGGGAAACAACCCAGACCGCCAGCUAAGGUCCCAAAGUCAUGGUUAAGUGGGAAACGAUGUGGGAAGGCACAGACAGCCAGGAUGUUGGCUUAGAAGCAGCCAUCAUUUAAAGAAAGCGUAAUAGCUCACUGGUCGAGUCGGCCUGCGCGGAAGAUGUAACGGGGCUAAACCAUGCACCGAAGCUGCGGCAGCGACACUAUGUGUUGUUGGGUAGGGGAGCGUUCUGUAAGCCUGCGAAGGUGGCCUGUGAGGGUUGCUGGAGGUAUCAGAAGUGCGAAUGCUGACAUAAGUAACGAUAAAGCGGGUGAAAAGCCCGCUCGCCGGAAGACCAAGGGUUCCUGUCCAACGUUAAUCGGGGCAGGGUGAGUCGACCCCUAAGGCGAGGCCGAAAGGCGUAGUCGAUGGGAAACAGGUUAAUAUUCCUGUACUUGGUGUUACUGCGAAGGGGGGACGGAGAAGGCUAUGUUAGCCGGGCGACGGUUGUCCCGGUUUAAGCAUGUAGGCUGGUUGUCCAGGCAAAUCCGGAUAAUCAAGGCUGAGGUGUGAUGACGAGGCACUACGGUGCUGAAGUAACAAAUGCCCUGCUUCCAGGAAAAGCCUCUAAGCAUCAGGUAACAUCAAAUCGUACCCCAAACCGACACAGGUGGUCAGGUAGAGAAUACCAAGGCGCUUGAGAGAACUCGGGUGAAGGAACUAGGCAAAAUGGUGCCGUAACUUCGGGAGAAGGCACGCUGGUGUGUAGGUGAAGUCCCUGCGGAUGGAGCUGAGACCAGUCGAAGAUACCAGCUGGCUGCAACUGUUUAUUAAAAACACAGCACUGUGCAAACACGAAAGUGGACGUAUACGGUGUGACGCCUGCCCGGUGCCGGAAGGUUAAUUGAGUGGG